rnacentral:lncRNA from 1 species
CUAGGAAAGGGACCAAUGAUUUACUUGCUUGGGACCCCCUAUUUGGAUCGUCUCUUGAGUCAUCUUCAGCUCCAUUAACUUCAUCAUCAUCGGCCAGACCCACGACACCUCUUUCUUUAGGCACCAUUGUUCCACCUCCAAGACCUGCUUCCAGACCAAAGCUUACUUCAGGCAAACUGAGUGGAAUUAAUGAAAUACCCAGGCCAUUCAGCCCACCUAUAACUUCUAACACCAGCCCACCUCCUACUGCUCCCUUAGCCCGGGCAGAGAGCAGUUCCUCUAUCUCUUCCUCUGCGUCAUUGAGUGCUGCCAAUACUCCAACAGUAGGUGUAUCACGGGGUCCCAGCCCAGUCAGCCUUGGAAACCAGGACACUUUGCCUGUGGCAAUCGCCCUUACAGAAUCUGUCAAUGCCUACUUUAAAGGAGCAGAUCCUACCAAGUGUAUUGUGAAGAUUACUGGAGACGUGACAAUAUCAUUUCCAAGUGGAAUUAUUAAAGUCUUCACGAGCAACCCCUCUCCAGCUGUGCUGUGCUUUAGGGUGAAAAACAUCAGUAGACUCGAGCAGAUUCUUCCAAAUUCACAGCUUGUGUUCAGUGAUCCAUCACAGUGUGAUUCCAACACAAAAGAUUUUUGGAUGAACAUGCAAGCUGUUACUGUCUACCUCAAGAAGCUGUCAGAGCAAAAUCCAGCUGCUUCUUAUUAUAAUGUAGAUGUACUAAAAUACCAGGUAUCAUCAAAUGGCAUUCAGUCCACUCCUCUAAAUCUUGCAACAUACUGGAAAUGCAGUGCCAGCACCACAGAUCUGAGAGUUAAGCAUUAGAGAAAAUAAAAUCCCUAUUUCUAGACAUUAAUAUAACACCUUGCUAUAUUAAACAGCAGAAAUCUGUUCUUUUUCACAGUAUGUAAUACAAAUGAGCAUUUUUUAUUCAGUAUUAUUCCUUUUCUAAAUUUAGGUUUGACUUAGGUAAAGAUAAGAAAAUUCAGCCUUUACUAACUAUCAAAAUGAGAGUUUCUAACUCUUACAAUCUUUAAAAUGCCAGUUUCAAUUACACUUACUAAAAUAUUGACUAAAUCUGCUUUUAUUGGGCAGUUAAUGCUUUACUAUUUGAAAUCUGACACUGUCUGUUGUUAAUCAAGUAUUACCUUAAAAUGUUGAAGUGAGUGGAAUGGUUGGUUAACCUUGUGCACUUUCCUAAUCCCCACAGCCUUCAUACUGAGUGUCGACAUGCAAGUUUAUAUUGGGUACAGGUUACAGUUUUAAAGCCAUAUGAGUUUAUAGUGAUUCUUUUUUCCAUUUAAAAAUUCACUAAUGUUUAAAAAGACCCAGUAGAGUCAGUGGGAGACUAUCUUAUCUAGCAAGCUGGUUCUUGCUUGUGUACAGUGAUAACUUUGUAGCUGCUUCUUUAACAAGAAUUUGUAAACACAGAACUCUUAGCACAGUGAGCGUUCAAGGGUCGUCAUUUACUACUUUGGGUUGUAAUUAGAGCACAUCUGUCUUCCAAAAUUUUGUAAAUACUUUUGAUUUUUUCAUAAAAUGUAAAUUUUACAUGAAAGUUGUAUUCCUAAUAAACGUGUAAUAUAUAAUUU